CGGGGUGCAGCAGGCGCGAAAACUUUACAAUGCGGGAAACCGUGAUAAGGGGACACCGAGUGCCAGCAUCAUAUGCUGGCUGUCCAGGUGUGUAAAAUACACCUGUUAGCAAGGGCCGGGCAAGACCGGUGCCAGCCGCCGCGGUAACACCGGCGGCCCGAGUGGUGAUCGUGAUUAUUGGGUCUAAAGGGUCCGUAGCCGGUUUGGUCAGUCCUCCGGGAAAUCUGAUAGCUUAACUAUUAGGCUUUCGGAGGAUACUGCCAGACUUGGAACCGGGAGAGGUAAGAGGUACUACAGGGGUAGGAGUGAAAUCUUGUAAUCCCUGUGGGACCACCUGUGGCGAAGGCGUCUUACCAGAACGGGUUCGACGGUGAGGGACGAAAGCUGGGGGCACGAACCGGAUUAGAUACCCGGGUAGUCCCAGCCGUAAACGAUGCUCGCUAGGUGUCAGGCAUGGCGCGACCGUGUCUGGUGCCGCAGGGAAGCCGUGAAGCGAGCCACCUGGGAAGUACGGCCGCAAGGCUGAAACUUAAAGGAAUUGGCGGGGGAGCACAAGGGCGAUUCGCG
rnacentral:rRNA from 1 species